GAUGAACGCUGGCGGCGUGCCUAAUACAUGCAAGUAGAACGCUGAAGGAGGAGCUUGCUCUUCUGGAUGAGUUGCGAACGGGUGAGUAACGCGUAGGUAACCUGCCUGGUAGCGGGGGAUAACUAUUGGAAACGAUAGCUAAUACCGCAUGACAACAGUUAUUGCAUGAUAACUGUUUAAAAGGGGCAACUGCUCCACUACCAGAUGGACCUGCGUUGUAUUAGCUAGUUGGUGAGGUAACGGCUCACCAAGGCGACGAUACAUAGCCGACCUGAGAGGGUGAUCGGCCACACUGGGACUGAGACACGGCCCAGACUCCUACGGGAGGCAGCAGUAGGGAAUCUUCGGCAAUGGGCGGAAGUCUGACCGAGCAACGCCGCGUGAGUGAAGAAGGUUUUCGGAUCGUAAAGCUCUGUUGUAAGAGAAGAACGAGUGUGAGAGUGGAAAGUUCACACUGUGACGGUAUCUUACCAGAAAGGGACGGCUAACUACGUG
rnacentral:rRNA from 1 species